AUAUGUUGCUGCAUAACAAACUACUACACAUUUAACACCUUAAACAGCUUAAAAUCUCACAUAUUUACUAUCCUACAGUCUCUCUGGGGUCAGGAAUCUUGGGACAGUUUAGUUAGGUCCUCUGCUUCAGAGUCUCUUACAAGGCUGCAAUCGGAGGUGUUGGUCAGGGCUAGGUUCUUAUCCGCAGGUCCACCUGGGGAGAGAUUCACCUCUGAGGUCAUGUUGUUGUUGGCAGAAUUCAGUUCCUUGAAGUUUGGACUGGGAGCCUCAGUCGGCUCUUGGCUGGAGACCACCUGCAGUUUCUAGUCUCGUGGGCCUUUCUAACAUAGCAGCUUGCUUCAUCAAAGUAUGCAAGCAGAAGACAAUAAGAAGAGUCAGCUAGCACAAUGGAAGCUACAACCUUAUGUAACCAAAUCGUGGAUGUGACAUCCCAUCACCUUUGCUGCAUUUGUUCAUUAGAAGCAAGUCGUAGGUCCACCCAGACUAAAGGGAUUACCCAAAGGUGUGAAUACCAGGAGGCCAUCUUAGACUCUGCCUGCCACAGCUGGGUUGCAGCCAGACCUGCCUACCUCUGAAACCCAAUGCACUGCAAAUAGUUGCCUGGAGAUCCUGGUGAGCAACCCAGCUUCUUACAGAAGUAAGAAUUAGUGGAUAAGUUUGACACAAAUUGUUAAGAAUGAUCCAGAGUCUUUUGCUCUUCUAGACUUACUCUUCUUGCAGGAAGUGAGAACAAAUGGACUGUCGGCUGGAAUAGAAUUUCUUGUAUAUCAAGACCAGCAUCCUACACAGAGCCCUCAGUAAAACUACUUGCAUGAACAGAUUUUGGGCUCCAUCAGCUCGAUUGCCCUACUUUUAUAACAAAUGUUUAUAAUAUCCUUAAUUCUAAGAUGAAAUCCAUAAAUAAAAUGUCCCUGCCCACAUAAUUUCAAAAUAUCAAUAUGAUGUAACUGUAAUAUACAAAACAAAAGGAAAAUAAUUAUAACAAAAACGAUGUGUCUCAAUAUAUACAUGCUCUAAAAUAAAGUGGUUGAAUGCUUACUCCUGAACUCAGAAUCACUGCUAAUGAGAUAGUUAUAAAUGCAGACUGUUACUUGACACUGGGUGUGGAAUUAGGGACUCAGAUUCUACAAUUUGCACUGGUGGUGUGAUUUUCCAGGAAGACAAAUAAUAUUUGGAAACAUUCUGAACAAAGCAAAACAAAAACCACCCCAUAAUUUACAAGGAGUUACACUUCUGGAAAAUUCAGUGUAUGUUCAAAUUGUGAAAAACAGAACCUUGUUUUGGAAUUAGUUUAGUCUUGAGUAAUUAUAGAUAAGGUUUUUAUCUACACGUAUGUCAUGCAAGACAUUGGAGGGCCUUGAGAUAAUUCAUUAUACAGGACUCUACUGCAUUUAACAGGACAAAUGUGUGGGACCUGGCAUUUCUCCCUACACACUCCCCCCAAUUGGGGAAUGCCUCAAUUUUGCAACAACAAAAACGCCCUUGGAUUUCACUAGUGAGCAGUGAUACUUGACAUUGCAAACCACUGCAAUGGUGCCUAACCUCUAGGUGAGAGGAAAGCAAUGCAGUUAUAGACUUGGUUGGACACCAUUAAGUUCAGAUAUCAAGGAGUACCAUGAGAGAGAUGGAAAUGAAAAUCAGUGGCUUCAAAGUAUCUACUGUGGCCCAGCAGCGCAGGCACAGUUAGGGUGCUUAAAUCAAGCAAAAGAUGCAGUGUCAGCUAGGGGUGGAGAGAGAACACUGUGUUAGGGUUUUAGAAGUGGACAUCUCAAAGCAGAUACUUUGCACACUGAAUUUUAAGAAUACUGAUGAAGACAGGUACCAUGGCUCACGCCUGUAGUCCCAACACUUUGGGAGGCUGAGGCAGGAGGAUCACUUGAGCCCAAAAGUUCAAGGCUGCAGUGAGCUGCAAUCACACCACUGCACUCCAGCCUGGGCAACAGGGACCUCAUCUCUAAAAAAUUGUUUUAAAAGAAUACUGACAGAAUGCUUUCUUUUCCAACAGAAACCUGUUUCCCUCAAAUCUUGUGGUUGCAGCUUUCCGUACGUAUGCAACCGAUUAUAAAGUCGUGACCCAGAACAGCAGCUCUGGAAAUGUAACCCAUGAAAAGAUCCCCAUAGGCACUGAGAUAGAAGGGAUGAACAUUUUAGGAUUGGUCCUGUUUGCUCUGGUGUUAGGAGUGGCCUUAAAGAAACUAGGCUCCGAAGGAGAAGACCUCAUCCGUUUCUUCAAUUCCCUCAACGAGGCAACGAUGGUGCUGGUGUCCUGGAUUAUGUGGUACGUACCUGUGGGCAUCAUGUUCCUUGUUGGAAGCAAGAUCGUGGAAAUGAAAGACAUCAUCGUGCUGGUGACCAGCCUGGGGAAAUACAUCUUCGCAUCUAUAUUGGGCCAUGUUAUUCAUGGAGGAAUUGUUCUGCCACUUAUUUAUUUUGUUUUCACACGAAAAAACCCAUUCAGAUUCCUCCUGGGCCUCCUCGCCCCAUUUGCGACAGCAUUUGCUACCUGCUCCAGCUCAGCGACCCUUCCCUCUAUGAUGAAGUGCAUUGAAGAGAACAAUGGUGUGGACAAGAGGAUCAGCAGGUUUAUUCUCCCCAUCGGGGCCACCGUGAACAUGGACGGAGCAGCCAUCUUCCAGUGUGUCGCCGCUGUGUUCAUUGCACAACUCAACAACGUAGAGCUCAACGCAGGACAGAUUUUCACCAUUCUAGUGACUGCCACAGCGUCCAGUGUUGGAGCAGCAGGCGUGCCAGCUGGAGGGGUCCUCACCAUUGCCAUUAUCCUGGAGGCCAUUGGGCUGCCUACUCAUGACCUGCCUCUGAUCCUGGCUGUGGACUGGAUUGUGGACCGGACCACCACGGUGGUGAAUGUGGAAGGGGAUGCCCUGGGUGCGGGCAUUCUCCACCACCUGAAUCAGAAGGCAACAAAGAAAGGCGAGCAGGAACUUGCUGAGGUGAAAGUGGAAGCCAUCCCCAACUGCAAGUCUGAGGAGGAGACAUCGCCCCUGGUGACACACCAGAACCCCGCUGGCCCCGUGGCCAGUGCCCCAGAACUGGAAUCCAAGGAGUCGGUUCUGUGAUGGGGCUGGCCUUUGGGCUUGCCUGCCAGCAGUGAUGUCCCACCCUGUUCACCCAGCCGCCAGUCAUGGACACAGGGCACUGCCCUUGCCAACUUUUACCCUCCCAAGCAAUGCUUUGGCCCAGUCACUGGCCUGAGGCUUACCUCUCGGCACUGGCAUUGGGCUCCCCAGCCGGAACUGGUUACCAAGGACAAGGACACUCUGACAUUCGGCUUGAUCCAUGUCCAGGUGCAACUGUGUGUACACCAGGGAUCUGUUUGGAAACAACCCCUUGAGCUGCCAGGCUCAAGAAAUCAUGGACUCACAGGGUCCUGUGUGGUUACAUCUUGGAAAAAAUGCAGAUGUAUUUCACUCUCCCCGGUCAGCUCUGCAUCAGGUGUUUUCUGAGCAAACCAAGGGGGUUUAUAGUCAUCUGUCGCAUUGCCUCGAGUUGCAGUAAUUGAAAAAAUGCUCAAAUUCUUAGCCAUGGCUGGCCUUUGCUGAGCUGGGACUCAGGUGUUUAAAGAGUUUGUGCUAUAGCUAGGUGUGGAUAGCUUCUGAUCCCUGGGUUCUGGGAGACUGCAGGUGCCGCACAUUGUCAAGUUAGAAAUACUCCAGGUGGGUGUUAGCGCUGUGGGGGUCUCUGGUCCACAGCCUUGGGUAAACAACUUAGAUUUUGAGGUCAAAGAAAAAAGGAGAGGGAAUGCAGCCUUGUGGGGGUGAAGCGGGGCAGAGGGUUCUCUAAUCUAAUCAGGACAGGACAGGUUUCACACACAAUUGUCCCAGUUCGCAUCCCAGCCCUGGGGCACUUUUCUGCUUCCUUCCAGAGGCCUGGGCCUCUGAUAACACUUUAGCUUUUUCUCCAUUCACGCUGAUUUGGCAAAAGGCCAGAGAUGGGCCUCCUUCCCUGGGGAGGUGUGAUGUAGUUAUCACAUUCAGGACCCUUGUUGAUUUAUCAUCUAUUAUUUGAAUUCAACUGGACACUCUGUAAAAUGCUGCACUGCAGCAAAAACAAAACCACCACCACCCCAGAGAAAACCAUGUACUAAUUGGAGUGGGGUACCCCCAUUCACAGGUUCCCAGGUCCCCUGGCUUUGGCUGAUUUCAAAAUAUAGAGCCCUUUCUUGCCAGUACAUCCAAGUUUAAAAUUAUCAGCGAAAUGGUCCAUGUUUUUCCAAUUACCUGCUGACACGGUUCUAAGCUAAGUGAGGGGGAAGAUCUGAGAGCGUGCUGUUUGUGGCUGUUGAUGCAUAUUCGUGAUGUAACAGGUCCUGGGGCCUCACUUUACCCCAUUUGUAAAAUGGGGCUAAUGUCACCUGCCUCUUACCUACCUCAGAGGGAUUUGGUGAGGCAAACUGUUAAUCUUCGAAAACGACCAUUUCACUUCUUGGAUAUCAAGUGCUAACCCAGUAUGUUCUUCUUUUUUAUGUAAGGGACAGCUUUCUCCACAGAGUCCUUCUGCUGGUGAGGACAGCAUUUCUGAGCAGGGCUUUGUUCUCUAUGUGCAUUAGGACUUUAUCAUGCCCUUGUUCUGUGUGUAGUUACUUGACAGCAUCAAAUGCAGCCUCUUCCUAAUGUCCUUCCAGUUUUCAUGAACUAGCAACCCCACCUUCCACCAUGGUUCUGGGCGCCUGAUUUUGCUGUGACUCCCAGACCCAGCCACUGUUUCUGCCACCCUGUAACAGGCCAUUAAAGCUCCCCAGUGUUCAGCCUCCUUCACUCCCUUGUUUUCCCUGUUGCUAUGUGUCACCUGGGCCCUACAGACAGGGGCACAUGCUUAUGGAUGUGUGUACCAUUGAGAUGAGAAUGGGUAGAUGGAACGGAGACCAGCAAGCCACACCCCCUUCUUAAAACUGGGGACAUGAGCCUGAGCAGAAAGGGUGAAGAAGAGCCAUGGGACACAGAGUUGACCCAGCCAGGGGGAAAGCCCAGCUCUCUUUAAACCAGCUAAGCCAUUCCAGUCUCCUGUGAAGCCAAAAGGGACCAGGAACCGUGCAAAGGAAACUGGAAACUUUUCCCCGCUGGGUAGAGCAUGUUGCUGAUACUCUUCUGUUUUCAAGGGAAACAAUCACAUUGUUUGAUUCCAAAUGGUAAAUGAACACUCACUAUUUUUCAGGCUUCAGUAAAUCUUUUUUUCUUCCUUCAUAUAUAUAUAUACACAACACACACACACAUAUGUAUAUCUAUACACACAUAUGUGUGUUGUGUGUGUUGUGUAUAUGCAUGUGUGUGUGUGUGUGUAUAGUUUUAGCUCCAAGCCAAGCAAGUUUGUGUUUGGAUAGAGGGGAACUUAACUAUUAACUACAAGUUGUAUGUCUGUGGUAUCUUGAUUUUCCCAUUUCUAAAGAUGAAUUUCACAAAGCCAUAAAGCGUGAAAUUAGAGCUGGACUUAAGACUCAUUGGCCGACCAUCCUGUGUCCUGGCCUGGCCCUGCAGUAAGAAGCGUGUCUGGGUCUGGAGAAGGGUGCUUCCGAGAGUGUGCAGGUGGCCCUUCCCCUUGGAGGCGAGAAGAGAGAAUGUGCUGUGUAUCUUCCUGGUUUUCAGUCCACAGAGUCGGUAGACCAGGGGUUACCUGACUGGGGAAAAUCUCACAUCUCCUUGUCUGAAAACAUUUCCCCUGCUGUUCUCCUUCUAACAUGUUGCGGUAAAUCUGUUCAGAUACUGUUCAUCUGACUGUUUUGUACGUGUGACAAUUGCCUUAAAACCUAGCACAGUCCUCAGAAAUGAAUACCGUGUUUCCACUGG
rnacentral:sRNA from 1 species